rnacentral:lncRNA from 1 species
CUCGCCUAUAAAUAAGAGGACGGGCUGCCGAGGAGCCCUCAGUUCUACACCGAGCCGUGUGCGCGCUGGAGGCGAGAGCGAGCAUCGUCAGCUGUGCGCAUCUCGCAGCAUCUCUCUCUCUCUCUCUCCAUCCAUCGAUCGAUCCGCAAGCGCCUCGGACCCUAGGCUCUCUCAUCCGUCGCCGCUCACUCAUCGCGCAUCUGCGAACAUCUGUGCCAGCGGCGCCCCGCGCUCUGCACGUGCACCUGGCAGCAGCGCCGCUCACCUGCUCACGCGCUCACCUGCUCACGCUCUCACAGCGAUGGACGUGGAAGCGGCGCGCACCCCGCCAAGGCGCUCCUGCAGGUGUCUGGACGUGUGGCUCGCCGUGUCCGUCACUCUCUUCUACGCGUGUGUCCUAGUGGGGGGGGCGGUGUACGCGACGCUCGACAACCGGCGGCACGUGGGCGCCGAAGGAGGAGCGGGGUCCCCGGCGGACCUCCCCAGGGCGAUCGCGCAGCGCGCGGAUACGCACGAGCGACACAUGAUCGACGGAGUGACAUACUUGUUCCCGCAGAGUGAGGAAAUAAUGGACGCCAAGGUGGUGAACUGGACCGCGGUUAGGUACAGGAACAGAACCACCGUGGGGAGCUUCUAUGAGUACAAAAGCAGCUCGUCUGUGCUGAAAGUGAAGAAGGAGGGCAGCUACCUGCUCAUGGUCUCCCUGAAGUUCACAUGCAGUUCUUCGGGGUGCAAGCAGGCGAAUACCACGGAGAAGUUCACCCUGAGCGUCUCGUGCGAAAGUAUCAAAUUUGAAUGCCAGGUGGACCUGAAGGAGGGCUCUGUCCAGCAGUGUGUGGACAUACUGAUGCUGCCCGACAGCUGUGAGCUGAAAGCUCGCAUGAAACACACAAAGGAGAAUUUAGGUUGGAAGCUGGACAAAAAUGCCUCGAAGCUGGGCAUAGCUCUGCUGGCAAUGCUCGCUUAGGGCCACGGCGCCACCAGGCCUUUGUCCAUGUGCUGGACACGGAAGCUCAAUUUGCACAGGAUGGUGCUGCGUGUAUCUCCCCUUACGGCGGGGAGAGGGCGCCACUUGGAUGGGUCACCAGCACUUGGCUCAGUUAACCCCUAAUUUAUUUGUUUGUGUCUUAUUUUUCUGUAACUAUUUAACUUACGGGUAUUUUGGAUAACAAAGGGAUGUAUUUAUAAAGACUAACUCUGAUUGUGAUACGUAUUUAUAAUGUAUGCGGACAACACUAAAAGAUUAAUAAAUAAGGGCAGGGCAGUUUGCA